GCCUUUUAACACUGUGUUUGAGUAUCUCUCAGCAUUCAUUCAACAAAGGUCAAAGGUUAUACAAUGAGCCAGAGAGCACCCCACUCUCCCAGACAGACAGUGGGCAGGGUUCCCCUGCUGGCAAUCCGUCAGACCCUCGGACCCUUCCAGAAGGGGGAACUCCUCCAGUAACAAAAUCUCUUCACAUCGACCUGAAGACUAGCUCUGCCUCAAAAGAGGGUCCGGCUCAAGUAGACGGUUCCACUUCUGAAACUUCCAGAGAACGUUCCCCACGGUCUGUUGGUUCCAGAGAGCAGGCUGGAGAAUCACAAGGAGAUCCCACGUCUCGUGAAAGAUUGUCUGUGUCUGUGACUACAAACCCUCUUUCUGCACUUGCAGAACAGACCACUGUUGGCAUGUAUCACCUGACAGGAACAUCCAUCACUCGAUCUCCAUUCAGUCUGAGAGUCCAUCACCAUGGGACCAAACCAACCGAUGCAUACUCCACGAGAAGCACAGUGCCUGGGACGACACAGUCAGCCACAACCCCUGAAGGAUCCGGCUUUGGGGACGACCCUGGGUGGAUAGACGGUCCGGGGAAGAACUUUGUGUCCAGCGAGAGUACUGUGGAGACGACCAAAACAGAAGGGGAAAACAUCAAAGAACAAUAAUAAGAGAACUUGAAGAGCUCAGUGGCCACACACCCUUGCUCAUUUAUUUUAAAGGAAAGGCCUUUACAUGUAGGUGAACCGCACAAAGUCGAAAUGAUGUCACUCUGUUUGUACCUCAUUUGUGUUUUUACAUUUCCUUUUACAUUGUCAAUACUCUAUCACGUGGGCAUAGAUUUAGAUUCUGUCUUAGUACUUAGUACUAACUUUGUAGUUACCUUUUCUCUAUGUUCUGAUAACUUAAAAUCUCAAGUGCAAGUUCGAAAAAGACAUUGUAGAGGUAGAAUCUAGGUUGUUGAAUUCGCUUUUUUUAGCUUAAAAUGUUUCAAAUUCUAGUGGUUUACUGUAUUUGGUAUGAUUUGAUUAGAAAAGAGGUGUUACAUUUGCUUAAACUACACAGGAGGUUCUAUUUGCCUCAAACAUUCCACAUACAGAAAAAUUGAUAACACUUCGUUGUCCUAAGAAUAACAUUACCGUGGCAUAAAAAUGUCAUAGGAAGGGGGCAUGUCCUAUAACUUUCAUGACCAGAAUGAAAUCAUAUUACAAUUAUUAUUAUUAGUUCUAUUAUUAUUAUUAAUUAUUAAUAUAAUAAUAAUAAUAAUGUUGUAAUAGUAUCAUAUAAUUAUGAAAUAGAGAUUAUGGGUAAAUGCCACUAUUUAGUUUGUGCUUUGUAGAACAGGUCAUGAGAGUAAUAAGGUGACAGCUGUGUGGGUGUUCUUUUUUAGAGUAUGGUCAGGAUUACCAUUAUAGAGAAGCCCAUUGGCAAAAUUUAAGGGAGUUUUUGGAAAUGGGGGAUGUUUUUCUGUGUUCUUAAUGUGAAUUGGAUUACUGAUAAGUAACAUUGCUCAGCACACUUGCAAUUGUCACA
ensembl:lncRNA